ACUCCUGCGGGAGGCAGCAGUGGGGAAUUUUGGACAAUGGGCGAAAGCCUGAUCCAGCAAUGCCGCGUGUGUGAAGAAGGCCUUCGGGUUGUAAAGCACUUUUGUCCGGAAAGAAAUCCUUGGCUCUAAUACAGUCGGGGGAUGACGGUACCGGAAGAAUAAGCACCGGCUAACUACGUGCCAGCAGCCGCGGUAAUACGUAGGGUGUGAGCGUUAAUCGGAAUUACUGGGCGUAAAGCGUGCGCAGGCGGUUUGCUAAGACCGAUGUGAAAUCCCCGGGCUCAACCUGGGAACUGCAUUGGUGACUGGCGGGCUAGAGUAUGGCAGAGGGGGGUAGAAUUCCACGUGUAGCAGUGAAAUGCGUAGAGAUGUGGAGGAAUACCGAUGGCGAAGGCAGCCCCCUGGGCCAAUACUGACGCUCAUGCACGAAAGCGUGGGGAGCAAACAGGAUUAGAUACCCGUGUAGUCCCAUG
rnacentral:rRNA from 1 species